AGGGGGUAAGGCGGAAUUGGUAGACGCUACGGACUUAAAAUCCGUUGGCUUUAUUGACCGUGAGGGUUCAAGUCCCUCUACCCCCA
rnacentral:tRNA from 1 species